rnacentral:lncRNA from 12 species
CCUCAAGGCAGUAUUUGGAAUUCAUGCUCCCCACCUGUGUCUACCAAUACUCUCCCUGGGGCAGGAUGCAAAAUUAUUCACAUGCCAGUGUUCUGGCCUAGACCAAAAUGUUAUUAUGGUUAAAAAUUAUUUAUGUUCCAAUUACACUUCAUUACUUUUUAACUAAAGAUCUCAUUUCACUCCAGUGAAGAAUCCAAUACAAUCUGGGUCAUUUCAAACCAGCCACAGAGAACCUGCAUUUGGGGGACAUAUUUCAAGGAAGACACAGCCCACCAUUUAGAAUCCUCCCGAAUCUAUGAGACAAAGUGCUUCGGUGAAGCUCAGAGACUCAGUUUGGAGUUGCUACCAAAGCCUUCCCAUUGGAGAUCUUCCCAGAGAGAUGAUCCUUCUGCCUUCAGUUCAAUUGGCCUUUUUGGGGCGCUUUGUGCUUGUUGGCCAUGACGGUAGGAGGCUAGAGAGGCCACCGAACGAAUGCUCCCCCUGCUGUCAAGGGAUUCUUAGACUCGAAGUGUCAAGUAUAUUGAACAUCAGAGAGCAUCUUUAAAUUUUCAGAUACCUUGGAAUUCUCUAAGCCUUGUUGGUAAACAUGCCACAGCAUCUAAAGCCCCUAAGAGGGCCUUCCAGUAACUUGAAUCUUUUCUAUAAGCCAGUAUUUGCUUCAAGCUCCAGAUAAAAGGUAAGCUUUCCUUUAAUUAGAAAAAAUCUUUCUAAAAACUGCCUAUUGUAUUUCCAGGAA